rnacentral:sRNA from 1 species
GCCAGGAGUGGUGGCGCAUGCUUGUAAUUCAAGAAGCUAGGAAGGCUGAGGCAGGAGGAUUGUGAGUUCAAAGCCAGCCUCAGCAAUGUUGAGGCACUAAGCAACUUAGUGAGACCCUGUCUCUA